AGCAGCCGCGGUAAUUCCAGCUCCAAUAGCGUAUAUUAAAGUUGUUGCAGUUAAAAAGCUCGUAGUUGAAUUUCGGGGUCAGUAGGUUGGUCAUGCCUUUGGUAUGUACUGGUCUCACUGAUUCCUCCCUCUUGAAGAACUGUAAUGUCAUUAAUUUGGUGUUGCGGGGAAUCAGGACUGUUACUUUGAAAAAAUUAGAGUGUUUAAAGCAGGCUUACGCCUGAAUACAUUAGCAUGGAAUAAUGAAAUAGGACGUUUGAUCCUAUUUUGUUGGUUUCUAGGAUUGACGUAAUGAUUAAUAGGGAUAGUUGGGGGCAUUAGUAUUCAAUUGUCAGAGGUGAAAUUCUUGGAUUUAUUGAAGACUAACUACUGCGAAAGCAUUUGCUAAGGAUGUUUUCAUUAACCAAGAACGAAAGUUNGGGGAUCGAAGACGAUCAGAUACCGUCGUAGUCUUAACCAUAAACUAUGCCGACUAGGGAUCGGACGAUGUUAAUUUUUUAAUGACUCAUUCGGCGCCUUA
rnacentral:misc_RNA from 1 species